rnacentral:rRNA from 1 species
UACAGAGGGGGCAAGCGUUGUUCGGAAUUACUGGGCGUAAAGGGCGCGUAGGCGGCCUUCUAAGUCGAACGUGAAAUCCCCGGGCUCAACCCGGGAACUGCGUCCGAUACUGACAGGCUUGAAUCCGGGAGAGGGAUGCGGAAUUCCAGGUGUAGCGGUGAAAUGCGUAGAUAUCUGGAGGAACACCGGUGGCGAAGGCGGCAUCCUGGACCGGCAUUGACGCUGAGGCGCGAAAGCCAGGGGAGCAAACGGG